rnacentral:rRNA from 1 species
AGCAGCCGCGGUAAUUCCAGCUCCAAUAGCGUAUAUUAAAGUUGUUGCAGUUAAAAGCUCGUAGUUGAACUUCGGGAUUUGUUCAUUGGUCAGGCUUCAUUGUCUGUACUGGUGUUUCGAAUUCCUACCUUCUGAUGAAUCUUCAUGCCAUUCACUUGGUGCGUAGGGGAAUCAGGACUGUUACUUUGAAAAAUUGAGUGUUUAAAGCAGGCUAUUGCUCGAAUACAUUAGCAUGGAAUAAUAGAAUAGGACGGUUGGUUCUAUUUUGUUGGUUUCUAGGAUCACCGUAAUGAUUAAUAGGGAUAGUUGGGGGCAUUAGUAUUCAAUUGUCAGAGGUGAAAUUCUUGGAUUUAUUGAAGACUAAC